AGAGCGAACGCUGGCGGCAGGCCUAACACAUGCAAGUCGAGCGCCCCGCAAGGGGAGCGGCAGACGGGAGAGUAACACGUGGGAACGUACCCUUCAGUUCGGAACAACCCAGGGAAACUUGGGCUAAUACCGAAUACGUCCGUAAGGAGAAAGAUUUAUCGCUGAAGGAUCGGCCCGCGUCUGAUUAGCUUGUUGGUGAGGUAACGGCUCACCAAGGCGACGAUCAGUAGCUGGUCUGAGAGGAUGAUCAGCCUCACUGGGACUGAGACACGGCCCAGACUCCUACGAGAGGCAGCAGUGGGGAAUAUUGGACAAUGGGCGCAAGCCUGAUCCAGCCAUGCCGCGUGGGUGAUGAAGGCCCUAGGGUUGUAAAGCCCUUUCGGCGGGGAAGAUAAUGACGGUACCCGCAGAAGAAGCCCCGGCUAACUUCGCGCCAGCAGCCGC
rnacentral:rRNA from 1 species